UCGAGCGUCAUUUCACCAAUCCAGCCUCGCUGGGCAUUGGGCGCUGCGGUCCGCCGCACGCCCCAAUUUCGCCGGCUGAGCUAUCUAUCUCUAAGCGUUGUGGCAACUCAACCCGCUUGCGAGUAUGGAUGGUCUCGGGCCGCUAAACACCCCAACUACAGGUUGACCUCGGAUCAGGUAGGGAUACCCGCUGAACUUAA
rnacentral:misc_RNA from 1 species